UAGUUGGUGGGGUAAAGGCCUACCAAGGCGACGAUCUGUAGCGGGUCUGAGAGGAUGAUCCGCCACACUGGGACUGAGACACGGCCCAGACUCCUACGGGAGGCAGCAGUGGGGAAUAUUGGACAAUGGGCGCAAGCCUGAUCCAGCCAUGCCGCGUGUGUGAAGAAGGCCUUAUGGUUGUAAAGCACUUUAAGCGAGGAGGAGGCUACUGAAGUUAAUACCUUCAUAUAGUGGACGUUACUCGCAGAAUAAGCACCGGCUAACUCUGUGCCAGCAGCCGCGGUAAUACAGAGGGUGCAAGCGUUAAUCGGAUUUACUGGGCGUAAAGCGCGCGUAGGCGGCUAAUUAAGUCAAAUGUGAAAU
rnacentral:rRNA from 1 species